rnacentral:rRNA from 1 species
CAGUCGUACCAGCGGGAAAUCAACCUUUCGAGUGGGAUCUUGGAGCUUUAAAGAGUUUCAAAGCCUUUUGGGUUUUAAGAUUUCUACUCUUUUGGUGUACUUUCUCGUAGGUAGGUCAACAUCGAUUUUGAACAUCAUAAAAAGAUCGGAGGAAUGUAGCUUCGAUCUCGUAUUGAAGUGUUAUAGCCUUCGGUAGAUGUGAUGAUUGGGAUUGAGGAUUGCAACGGAUACCCUUCGGGGCUACCUGUCUGAUCUCUGAAAGUUGCUCUGGUGCUGAAAGCUUGCUUAUGGUAUCAAAGUUGACGUUCAACAGGUUAGAACGGGAUAAA